CCUACGGGAGGCUGCAGUAAGGAAUCUUCCGCAAUGGGCGAAAGCCUGACGGAGCAACGCCGCGUGGGCGAUGAAGGCCUUCGGGUCGUAAAGCCCUUUUCUGUGGGACGAUAAUGACGGUACCACAGGAAUAAGCCACGGCUAACUACGUGCCAGCAGCCGCGGUAAUACGUAGGUGGCUAGCGUUAUCCGGAUUCACUGGGCGUAAAGAGCGCGUAGGCGGUGUGCUAAGUUGGACGUGAAAGCCCCCGGCUAAACCGGGGGAGGUCGUCCAAUACUGGUGCACUUGAGGGUGGACGGGGAAAGCGGAAUUCCCGGUGUAGUGGUGAAAUGCGUAGAUAUCUGGAAGAACGCCAAAGGCGAAGGCAGGUUUCUGGGCCUUUACUGACGCUGAGACGCGAAAGCUAGGGGAGCAAACAGGAUUAGAUACCCUGGUAGU
rnacentral:rRNA from 1 species